AAAGUUGUCCCUUGGUUAUUAGCAGUGCCAUAAUAUAUAUGUAACUUAAUGACCUCAUCUGAUAUAUUUUAGGACCAGAUUCUACAAGAUUUAACUGAGAGUGUACGAUGGUUAUUGUGUGGUGAUGCUGGUACAUCCUCCUUCCCAUCAACUACUGCUCCCUGACAUGGGUUUUGUUUACUGCACUUUUGACUCAUUAGUUAGUGUGCAGUGUGUUAAUCUACACUACUUAAAAAGUACGAAGGAGUUCCUUAUUCUGCCAAUCUUCGCAAUACGUUUUGGUCGUCUUCGUCGUAAUCUCGUCCCGCACGCGCCUAUCUGGGCCGCGCGAACAUGGGCCGCCCUCCACUGCACGAGCAUCACCGCCCGCACGCCAAGGAUCCUCGUCCUCGCCUCCCCCCUCGCCAAGGCUCCUCGCCCUCACCUCCUGCACCGCCUGUUGUUCCCCAUCUCUGGGAACGCCGCCUGCCUCCUCUGUGACGCGGCGCCGUCGAUGCCCCAGAGCGCGUCAUCCUCGAGUGGAUCGAUGGACGCCGCGGUGUCUCCUCCUGCCGAUUCGUCCUCUGUGGGUUCCGCAUCGUCCCACUUGGCUUUGACAUUGACGCCGGCGUGCUCCUCACCCAGCAAACUCUUGUUAGGGUAUGACUGUCCCGUUCUGACUUCUGAUGGCCUCGCUCAGGUGAAGAUUUAGUGGCUUGCAGUUGAGUUAGGUGGUCGUAUUGCAGACUGGUUGAUCUAUCUGAUGACAUAUAUCAUAUGUCUCUUGAAGUUCUGCUUGUAACGAGUCCAAGUGUCCAACAAGUAUUCUUCAUCAGCUACAACCUUACAACCUCCAGGGAUUUUGUCAAGCUUGGUGCGCAGAGCACACCGUUCUGACUCUCCUGCAACCAAUCAACAGGGCACAUGAUUGAACCAUCGAGUUAUGGAUCUUCGGACACUCGCGAAUCAAGCAAUCUUCAGUAUCCAAGGCCAUGUUGAAGAUCCAGACGAGGACUUCUUGCUCCAGGCUGCUGCUCUUGUGCUCCUGCGUGUUGACGUCCCUGGAGCCAAAUAAGGUUACACUAUGCUCAGCCUUUUGUUCUAUUAAUCUUUUUCUUUGGAUUUUAACUACGUGUGGUGCAGUUGCAUAUGAACUUUAUCGAUUUCUGUGAGAUUGUGCUCCGCGGCGGUCCUGUAUGAGCCCCAUGUCAAAAACCAUAAAAAUAGCUAUGUUGAUUGGUCAGCACCUCUACUUCCUAUUAAUACGUCAUUAUAUAGAUAAUGAAGAACUUGAAUGUUUUUCCCUCCUGUAACAGUGAGGGAUUUCUCAUAUUUCUAAUGUUAAAAUUUCUGAAUGUCUUGGAUUUCUGAAAAGAAGUUGGACCAUAAUCUAUUGGUUUUUGUUCAUAGAUGUUGGACCAUAAUCUAUUGGUGUUUGUUCAUGGAAGUUGGACCAUAAUCCUACAGCAUUUGCAUUACAGAAGGUGUUGCUGUUCUUUUGGUUUUUCUUGGAGUAACUUCAAAUUUAUCUUGAGUCUAUUACAUACUCUUCACAAAAUUAGCUUGAGCAAAGCCGAUAUAGGAGUGCCUAAAUAUAUUGCUCAUUGUAUUUAAGCUCAUUGUAUUUAAUUUGCUCAUUGUAUUUAAUUUACAAAUUUUAUUUUUUCAAUAAUUCAUACCAGUGUAUAAGCUCAUUGUAUUUAAUUUGCUGAAGUCGCAGAAUCUAGAAUGAUCAGAUUUUACAUCCCUUCUUUAAGAUGUUUGGAUUCAUUAUGUAUUCUUAUAAAUUUUAGAAGGUAUAUUUCAUGACUUAAUGCAACCUUAUCUUGAUUAGUGUACAUAACCAAAGCAUAUAUUUGUGGAUGAAGCCUAAUAUUAUUUCGUGCCUUGGUGGACAAAAGUUUUAUCAUAGGUUGCAAAAACUAUGCUACUGAUAUUUAUUGUUGAAGGUAUGCUAGAUAACAAUUUUACAUAGCUCCCAGGGGCAUACGUUAGCAUGGAGCAGAUAGC